CCACAAGGGGUGAAGCCUGCGGUUCAAUUGGAGUCAACGCCGGGAACCUUACCAAGGGUGACAGCAGAAUGAAGGUCACGCUAAAGACAUUACCAGACAAGCUGAGAGGAGGUGCAUGGCCGUCGCCAGCUCGUGCCGUGAGGCGUCCUGUUAAGUCAGGAAACGAGCGAGACCCCUACCUUCAGUUGCUACCGUUACCCGAAAGGAUGGCGGGGCUAAUUGAAGGGACCGCUACCGCUAAGGUGGAGGAAGGAGGGGGCCACGGCAGGUCAGUAUGCCCCGAAACCCUUGGGCCACACGCGGGCUGCAAUGAUAGGUACAGCGGGUUCCGACCUCGAAAGAGGAAGGCAAUCCUUCAAACCCUAUCUCAGUUAUGAUUGAGGGCUGCAACCCGCCCUCAUGAAUCUGGAAUCCCUAGUAACCGCGCGUCAACACCGCGCGGUGAAUAUGUCCCUGCUCCUUGU
rnacentral:rRNA from 1 species